ACACUCUAGUUUCCCUUCAAAAACCAUAAAUCUUUCGCCUUUUACUAAAGAUUUCCGUGGAGGGGAACAAUUCAAUGAGUCUCUCAUUAUUAUUUUUAAAUAUAUUAAUCAAAAUAUAU
rnacentral:snRNA from 1 species